rnacentral:rRNA from 1 species
CCUACGGGCGGCAGCAGUGGGGAAUAUUGGACAAUGGGCGAAAGCCUGAUCCAGCCAUGCCGCGUGUGUGAAGAAGGCCUUCGGGUUGUAAAGCACUUUCAGUGGGGAAGAAAGCCUUGGGGCUAAUACCCUCGAGGAAGGACAUCACCCACAGAAGAAGCACCGGCUAACUCCGUGCCAGCAGCCGCGGUAAUACGGGGGUGCGAGCGUUAAUCGGAAUUACUGGGCGUAAAGCGCGCGUAGGCGGUCUGAUAAGCCGGUUGUGAAAGCCCCGGGCUCAACCUGGGAACGGCAUCCGGAACUGUCAGGCUAGAGUGCAGGAGAGGAAGGUAGAAUUCCCGGUGUAGCGGUGAAAUGCGUAGAGAUCGGGAGGAAUACCAGUGGCGAAGGCGGCCUUCUGGACUGACACUGACGCUGAGGUGCGAAAGCGUGGGUAGCAAACAGGAUUAGAUACCCGGGUAGUC